rnacentral:lncRNA from 1 species
AGAUAAACUGAAAAUAUUUUAUUAAAUUGGAAAUCAAAGUUAUAGAAUCAUCGUUUCACCCAAGGAUCCAUCACAAGUCUAAUAAGUGAAUUAGUUCAUAACGAAUAAAUUAAACACUGAAAUAAUAGAAGAACACAUCAUCCCAAUUACAUAAUAUAGAAAAUUAAGGAGAAUAGUAAUACACCACCCUUCUCGCCCUUCGAUUCUGUUAUCUUCGUGGAAUUAAUCUCCUUCUUUCUUUCCUCCAAGCUCUUGUUCUUCAAAAUCUCGAUAAUCGUCGUGUCUACCUCUCCCUCUUUCUCCUACACUUAGCAUAAAAGUAAUCUCAAUUUAGUUCCAUACCUCAAUCCUAAUCCAACUCUAACUCUCCUCAUAAGAAAUCAAGUGGAGACAUGAAGCCUUUUCAAAAUCAACAACUCAUUAGUCAAAGACUCCCACAAAAUAAACUAACAAUCAUCCCACACUCCUAAUAUUAUCAUAUUACAUAAAGAAUUAUUAGUUCCCAGCAUAGCCCAACUUCUAGCCAAACAGCAAAAUUCGCCCAACAAAAUUUCCCGACGCAGCGCGCCCCGCGCUACGUAACACAUGCCAACAGCGCGCCCUGCGCUAUCGCCCUAGGAGAUUGUCUCUUUCCAGCGCGCUCCGCGCCAUAUUCCUAUGCAGCACAGUGCGCCCCGCACUAUGUAAUCAGAAACUUUAAAAUUGCUCGAAAUCUUCUUCCAAUUAUAACAUUUUUAUAGGCCCUUGUAUUAUCCUGCAACAAGAAAACAACCUAUCAAAAGUGACAUGAAAUUACCAAAAACUAACAAUAUAUCAAGCUAAACGAACAUAAAUCAUAGGCUAAAACCCUACUCAUCAAACACUGUUGAAGGCUAACGAUAAUUUAUUUUGCAUUAUCUUAGUCAUAAUAUUUCUUACUGGGUUAGUUGAGCUCACCCUUUAUUUUCAUUGUUCUCUUCAGGAAAUGAGAAUAUAGCUGGGACUAGUCGGGGAACGGAGUGACGGUCCAGAUGUUUGCAUUAGUAGUCCUCACUAUUCAGUGAAAUAGUGUAAUAAUAAAUGUAAUAAAGGCUCCAUUUGAGUUUGAAUACUGUCUAGAAGACAAUAUUCGUAUUAAAACUCUCAGCUUAUGUUUUGUCGUAUUUUACACGACAGUUGUAUAAUUAAGUUGUAUUUGAAUUUUGUACCAUGUAUUUGGCGACUAAAGAUGGGUGAUGUAUACCUAUUUUGGGGGCGUCACAUCUUCCCCACCUCACAAGCUCACUAGAGACCCAACUCCUAGCUGACAUCUCUAAGACUCUGGUCUUGGUCGAAGAAUUACUCGUUUUUCUAACAGAAAUAUAAAAUAAACUAACUCUAUCUUUUUCUCUUUUUAUAAAAAAUUUUACAAUGAUGUACUUCUUAAAUAAGAAGAUAUAAUUUAGUACAAAUUGAUGCUUCUUAAAGAAGUAGAUAGAAAUUAUCGAUCAAAAAGUUCAAAGACUUUUAUGAUAAUUUUCUUCUUGUAUAAGCAGAUGUAAAUUUUGACUCAAUUAUAAAAGUUUAAAAAAAAAUUUAUAUUAAUUUGUGUAGAAAUGCUUCUUGAUCAAAAAGAUAAAUAAAUUUAAGUGUAUGUCAGAUAAUGCUUGAAAAAGUAAAUAUUUAGUUUAAUGCAAGUUUUUAAAGAAUUAUUUAUUCUUUACAAUAAAGAAUGUGUUUCUAUGGAUUUAAACAUAUAUU